rnacentral:rRNA from 1 species
CCUACGUGUGGCAGCAGUGAGGAAUAUUGGUCAAUGGGCGUAAGCCUGAACCAGCCAAGUCGCGUGAGGGAUGAAGGUUCUAUGGAUCGUAAACCUCUUUUAUAAGGGAAUAAAGUUCGGGACGUGUCCCGUUUUGUAUGUACCUUAUGAAUAAGGAUCGGCUAACUCCGUGCCAGCAGCCGCGGUAAUACGGAGGAUCAGAGCGUUUUCCGGAUUUAUUGGGUUUACAGGGUGCGUAGGCGGCCUUUUAAGUCAGCGGUGAAAGUCUGUGGAUCAACCAUAGAAUUGCCGUGGAAAAUGGGAGGCUUGAGUAUGUUUGAGGCAGGCGGAAUGCGUGGUGUAGCGGUGAAAUGCUUAGAUAUCACGCAGAAGCCCGAUGGCGAAGGCAGCCGGCCAAGCCAUGACUGACGCUGAUGCACGAAAGCGUGGGGAUCAAACAGGAUUAGAUACCCGUGUAGUC